CCCUCUAGUCAGAUUCCUCAGGAUUCUAUGCUUGUCCUUUCCUCUUUACUCUGCACAGUGAAAAAGUAACUACACCAUCUCAUCUAUUCCCAAGUUUAUAAUCAAUGUUUAUAACCUAAUGGCGUUUGACUUUCUGUACAACUCACCCCUCUUUCUCUCUCAAGUUUCAUACUCAGAGGAACGCUUCCGAGUAUUUUCCCAGCUCACAGUGACCACUCCGGCAGGCCUCCUUGGCAACCACCUGUGUGUUGCACUCUGGCCUCCAGGCCACAGUUGGUUGAGGAAGGGGCAGUCAUGUGAUCCAGGCCAGAGUUCCUUUUUCUAUACAUUUGAAAUCUGGAGAGAGAAGGCAAAAGAUCAGCUGACUUUUCUUCUCCAGAGAGUAGACCUGUUAAAGGAAGAAGAAAGGAGGCUGGUUGUAGGAAGAAAUCUGGAGGCGGCAGUGUUAAACCAGCUGUUGGACUCCUACCCUGCAUCGAUGAUAGUUGGUCUCUAGUGUUCCUAUAUUUACUACCUUUCACUGCAUAAAAAUCAUCCCAAAACUUUGUGACUUAGAACACCAACAUCUUCACUGUCACCAGUUUCUGGGGGUCUGGAACUGGGACAUGGCUUAGUUGGAUUCCUCAGCUCACAGUGUCGCAAGAGGCUGCAGUCAAGAUGUCAGCAGAAACUGUAGUCAUCUCGAAGCUUGACCAGGGUAAGAUGUACUUCCAAGCUCCUUCCUAGGGCUGUUGAGAGGCCUCAGAUCCUGGCUGACUGCUGAAUGGAGGCAUCAAUUCUUUGCCAUGCAGGUCUCUGAAGAGUGCUACGCACAACAUGGCCGCUGGCUGGUGGCUACUCUCUGUUCCUUGCCACAUGGGUCUCUACACAGAACAGAUCACAACAUGGCAACCUGCUUCAUCAGAGAGAAGGCAAGAAAAACCAAAGACUGCAUGGGAGCAAAGGGCCUGCUCUUUUGUAACCCAAUCUCAGAAGCGACAUCCCAUCACUUUUGCUCUAUCUUGUUAGAAGCAAGUCAUUAUGCACAUCUCACACUCCAGGUAAAGGGAUUAGACAAGGGGGUGCACCCCAGAAGGCAAGGAUCAUCAAGAAUAAUGUGAGAAGCUGAUCUCCACAACUUCUUUAAAGAAGGCUCUUUUCCCUGCUGGUCUAGCCAAUCUUGAAUCUUAGCUUCAGGACCAGCUCUACCCAGAGUCACACCCACCAUGUGGGUGUGUCCAACAUCACUCACGUCAUAGUGGGAGAAAGAGACCUAGAACCCAAGACUCUGAAGUUCCUGAUCAGUCCUCUGUUUUCUCUCAUAUGUGUUUGGUUAGGACACCACUACAGGUACAUGGAGCCCCACAGUGCCAAGCAAACACAUCUUGACUUUAAAACACAGGCUUCAAGACUUGUAAACAGAAGAGUGCUAUGACAGAAGUGAUUUUUAAAGAAAGAUUAGUGUGAUGACUGUAAAAUGAAUUGGAGAGGGAAAGACUGGAAAUUACAUUAGUUCCAAUUUAUUUACACUUAGCAAAUUUAUGCUCUACAGUUUUGUAGUUUGUGACUAUAAAAACAACCCAUGUGUUUUCAUAAGUCUUAAUAAAAUG
ensembl:lincRNA